rnacentral:rRNA from 1 species
AUUGAACGCUGGCGGCAUGCUUUACACAUGCAAGUCGAACGGUAACAGGCCGCAAGGUGCUGACGAGUGGCGAACGGGUGAGUAAUGCAUCGGAACGUGCCCAGUCGUGGGGGAUAACGCAGCGAAAGCUGCGCUAAUACCGCAUACGAUCUAUGGAUGAAAGCGGGGGACCUGUAAGGGCCUCGCGCGAUUGGAGCGGCCGAUGUCAGAUUAGGUAGUUGGGGGGGUCAAGGCUCACCAAGCCGACGAUCUGUAGCUAGUCUGAGAGGACGACCAGCCACACUGGGACUGAUACACGGCCCAGACUCCUACGGGAGGCAGCAGUGGGGAAUUUUGGACAAUGGGCGCAAGCCUGAUCCAGCAAUGCCGCGUGCAGGAAGAAGGCCUUCGGGUUGUAAACUGCUUUUGUACGGAACGAAACGGCUCUGGUUAAUACCUGGGGCUAAUGACGGUACCGUAAGAAUAAGCACCGGCUAACUACGUGCCAGCCGCCGCAGUAA